UCCUGACCGUGCAAAGGUAGCAUAAUCACUUGCCUAUUAAUUGUAGGCUAGAAUGAAAGGACAAACGAGAAUACACCUGUCUCCUUUAAGCCCUUAAAAAUUUAUCUUUAAGUGAAGAAGCUUAAAUUCAUAUGCAGGACAAGAAGACCCUAUAGAGCUUUACCUAAAAUCUACAUAAAUAGUAGCUAGCGGUUCGGUUGGGGCGACCGGGGGACAUUCAUCACCCCCAAACUAAAAGAUAUACCUAUCCCACCAAAGAUCCUUACUCAAGAUCAAAGAAUCAAGCUACCUUAGGGAUAACAGGCUAAUCCUCUUAGAGAGCCCUUAUCGACAAGAGGGGUUGGCACCUCGAUGUUGGCUUAGGACUUCUCC
rnacentral:rRNA from 1 species